rnacentral:tRNA from 2 species
GGCCAAGUGGUGAAAUGGUAUACACGCACGACUCAAAAUCGUGUGGGGCUUUAAACCCCGUGAGAGUUCGACUCUCUCCUUGGCCACAA